GGAAUUUGUACGAGAUUAUACGAUUCCUCAAUGGAACAGUGAUCUGGAUGGACGCUUGAUUUUGAGCGAGGUCGAGCGGACGCACGAGAUUUAGCCAUCUCGCACGGCUCUUUUGUACAAAAUCGUACUAGGGACGCAUGACAGCCUUUGCCUUCCGUCUACUUCUGUUACACGCCAUGUAUUUCCCUUGAUUUGUGAAGCCGGGAACGUUAGAGGCGCGGCUGCUCGUCCUCUGUUAGUUGCAGGCGUUGGAACGAAAGAGAAAGGAAAGGGGGCUGGGUCGGGUUUUGAAUUAUGGGUUGGGAACGAAUUAAGUAUUUUGGGAGUUGGAGGAGUG
rnacentral:misc_RNA from 1 species